CCUACGGGUGGCAGCAGUGGGGGAUAUUGCACAAUGGGGGAAACCCUGAUGCAGCGACGCCGCGUGGGUGAAGAAGUAUCUCGGUGUGUAAAGCUCUGUCAGCAGGGAAGAAAAUGACGGUACCUGAAUAAGAAGCCCCGGCUAACUACGUGCCAGCAGCCGCGGUAAUACGUAGGGGGCAAGCGUUAUCCGGAUUUACUGGGUGUAAAGGGGGCGUAGACGGCGAUGCAAGUCGGAAGUGAAAGCCCGGGGCCCAACCCCGGGACUGCUUUUGAAACUGGGUGGCUGGAGUGCUGGAGAGGCAAGCGGAAUUCCUGGUGUAGCGGUGAAAUGCGUAGAUAUCAGGAAGAACACCGGUGGCGAAGGCGGCCUGCUGGACAGUAACUGACGUUGAGGCUCGAAAGCGUGGGGAGCAAACAGGAUUAGAUACCCUUGUAGUC
rnacentral:rRNA from 1 species